AUGUUUGGAUGUUUUGGGGGUUACCAUGAGGCAAGAAAACAGGAUAUGGGUGGAGUGGUCAGAUUGGGAUAUACUUCAUAUCAGGUCAUGGUGACCCUCUCUCAUGGUAGCUUAAUUGCAAUAACAGGAAAUCUGGCUCCAAAAGAUAGUGGCAGAGAAAGUCACGAAGGGGACUUUCGCACGCACAUUUGGCUAAAACUAAGGUCCCUGACGUCAAUGGAGGACUAUAAAAGAUAUGUGGAUGGGCUGUUUUGCUCAUGAGCUAUUGUUCGAUGCUGUGAUCGGAAUAAAAACCCCGCCGAGAGGCUGCCAGCUUGAUUCUGUCUUCGUGUAGUUCAUUUCUGCACUUUUGCACCGAGGUCAUCUUCUAAA